UACGUAGGGUGCUAGCGUUGUUCGGAAUCAUUGGGCGUAAAGCGCGUGUAGGCGGUUAGUUAAGUCAGGUGUGAAAUCCCUGGGCUCAACCGAGGAAGUGCAUUUGAAACUAACUAGCUAGAAGACGGUAGAGGAAGGUGGAAUUCCAAGUGUAGAGGUGAAAAUUCGUAGAUAUUUGGAGGAAUACCGGUGGCGAAGGCGGCCUUCUGGACCGUUCUUGACGCUGAGACGCGAAAGCGUGGGGAGCAAACAGG
rnacentral:rRNA from 1 species